AGUGAACGCUGGCGGUAGGCCUAACACAUGCAAGUCGAACGGCAGCACAGUAAGAGCUUGCUCUUACGGGUGGCGAGUGGCGGACGGGUGAGGAAUACAUCGGAAUCUACUUUUUCGUGGGGGAUAACGUAGGGAAACUUACGCUACUACCGCAUACGACCUACGGGUGAAAGCAGGGGAUCUUCGGACCUUGCGCGAUUCAAUGAGCCGAUGUCGGAUUAGCUAGUUGGCGGGGUAAAGGCCCACCAAGGCGACGAUCCGUAGCUGGUCUGAGAGGAUGAUCAGCCACACUGGAACUGAGACACGGUCCAGACUCCUACGGGAGGCAGCAGUGGGGAAUAUUGGACAAUGGGCGCAAGCCUGAUCCAGCCAUACCGCGUGGGUGAAGAAGGCCUUCGGGUUGUAAAGCCCUUUUGUUGGGAAAGAAAAGCAGCAGGUUAAUACCCCGCUGUUCUGACGGUACCCAAAGAAUAAGCACCGGCUAACUUCGUG
rnacentral:rRNA from 1 species